AGCCGUCAAGCAGGCGUCGAUCCGGGGAUGUCCGAAUGGGGAAACCCGACUGGGGGAAUGCCCAGUCACUCUGGUCUGAACACAUAGGGCCAGUUGAGGCAACCGGGGGAAUUGAAACAUCUCAGUACCCCGAGGAAAGGAAAGCAACAGCGACUCCCUGAGUAGCGGCGAGCGAAACGGGAAGAGCCCAAACCAGCAUGGUGUGAUAGCCCGGUGGCGUUGCCAUGCUGGGGUUGUGGGACCCACCGGACGGUACACCGGUACCGUCGAGGAGUUACAAAGUCAGGUGCUAGCUGAACCCGGGUGGAAACUCGGGCCGCAGAAGGUAACAGCCCUGUAAGCGAAAGCUCUCUGGCCUCCUGGUGGCGUUCCCAAGUAGCACGGGGGAUAUCCCGUGUGAAUCUGCGAGGACCACCUCGUAAGGCUAAGUACUACCUAGCGACCGAUAGUGGACUAGUACCGUGAGGGAAAGGUGAAAAGCACCCCGGUGAGGGGAGUGAAACAGAACCUGAAACCGUGAACUUACAAGCAGUAGGAGGGGAUCCUCGGAUCCCUGACUGCCUGCCUUUUGAAGAAUGAGCCGGCGAGUUAUCGAUGUGUGGCGAGGUUAAGGCGAGAGCCGUAGCCGCAGCGAAAGCGAGUCUGAACAGGGCGCCUAGUCGCAUGUCCUAGACCCGAAGCCGAGUGAUCUAUCCAUGGGCAGGGUGAAGCGAGGGUAAGACCUCGUGGAGGCCCGAACCCACCNNNNNNNNNNNNNNNNNNNNNNNNNNNNNNNNAAAGGCCAAGCAAACUCGGCGAUAGCUGGUUCUCCCCGAAAUAGCUUUAGGGCUAGCGUCGUGUGUUCCGCCUUGGGGGUAGAGCACUGAUUGGGCUAGGGGGCCAACAAGCUUACCGACCCCAGUCAAACUCCGAAUCUCAAGGUUUCAGAGCACGGCAGUCAGACUGCGGGGGAUAAGCUUCGUAGUCGAAAGGGAAACAGCCCAGACCGCCAGCUAAGGUCCCUAAAUCUGAGCUAAGUGGGAAACGAUGUGGAGUUGCCCAAACAGCCAGGAGGUUGGCUUAGAAGCAGCCAUUCCUUGAAAGAGUGCGUAACAGCUCACUGGUCGAGUGAUUCCGCGCGGAAAAUGUAACGGGGCUCAAGCUCAGUACCGAAGCUGCGGGAUUCCGUCACACAGCUCGGCCCUGCUCCUCCGGGAGUGGGGUCCAGGCGACGGGAUCGGUAGGGGAGCGUCGAGCAGCCAUCGAAGCGGCGGCGUGAGCCAGCCGUGGAGGCUGCUCGAGUGCGAAUGCCGGCAUGAGUAGCGAAAGAGGAGUGAGAAUCUCCUCCGCCGGAUGUCCAAGGGUUCCUGGGGAAGGCUCGUCCGCCCAGGGUUAGUCGGGACCUAAGGCGAGGCCGCGAGGCGUAGUCGAUGGACAACGGGUUGAUAUUCCCGUACCACCAUGCGCGCGUCCAGGCCGAACCCAGUUUGCUAAGGAAAGCCCUUCGGGGCCUACCGACCCAGCUGGUACUAGGCCAGCGAUGGGGUGACACGGAAGGGUAAGCGGACCCGGGCGUCGGUUGACCCGGGGUAAGCGCGUAGGGCGGAGCCUAGGCAAAUCCGGGCUCCACCAAGCCUGAGGCGCGAUGCCGACCCGCAUGAGGGGAAGCCGCUGAACGCCCAUGCCAUCAAGAAAAACCUCUAGCGAGUGCGCAGGUGCCCGUACCCCAAACCGACACAGGUGGACAGGUAGAGAAUACCAAGGCGAGCGAGAGAACCCUGGUUAAGGAACUCGGCAAAUUGGCCCCGUAACUUCGGGAGAAGGGGCGCCCCGGUAAGGUGACGGACUUCGCGUCCCGAGCUUGAGGGGGCCGCAGAAACCAGGCCCAAGCGACUGUUUACUAAAAACACAGGAGCGUGCUAAGUCGCAAGACGACGUAUACGCUCUGACGCCUGCCCGGUGCCGGAAGGUCAAGGGGAGGGGUUAGCCGCAAGGCGAAGCUCUGAACCCAAGCCCCGGUAAACGGCGGCCGUAACUAUAACGGUCCUAAGGUAG
rnacentral:rRNA from 1 species